rnacentral:rRNA from 1 species
UGGGGAAUUUUGGACAAUGGGCGAAAGCCUGAUCCAGCAAUGCCGCGUGUGUGAAGAAGGCCUUCGGGUUGUAAAGCACUUUUGUCCGGAAAGAAAUCCUUGGCUCUAAUACAGUCGGGGGAUGACGGUACCGGAAGAAUAAGCACCGGCUAACUACGUGCCAGCAGCCGCGGUAAUACGUAGGGUGCAAGCGUUAAUCGGAAUUACUGGGCGUAAAGCGUGCGCAGGCGGUUUGCUAAGACCGAUGUGAAAUCCCCGGGCUCAACCUGGGAACUGCAUUGGUGACUGGCAGGCUAGAGUAUGGCAGAGGGGGGUAGAAUUCCACGUGUAGCAGUGAAAUGCGUAGAGAUGUGGAGGAAUACCGAUGGCGAAGGCAGCCCCCCUGGGCCAAUACUGACGCUCAUGCACGAAAGGCGUGGGGGAGC